rnacentral:rRNA from 1 species
AACGAACGCUGGCGGCAUGCCUAACACAUGCAAGUCGAACGAUCCCUUCGGGGAUAGUGGCGCACGGGUGCGUAACGCGUGGGAACCUGCCCUUAGGUUCGGAAUAACUCAGGGAAAUUUGAGCUAAUACCGGAUAAUGUCUUCGGACCAAAGAUUUAUCGCCUUUGGAUGGGCCCGCGUUGGAUUAGCUAGUUGGUGGGGUAAAGGCCUACCAAGGCGACGAUCCAUAGCUGGUCUGAGAGGAUGAUCAGCCACACUGGGACUGAGACACGGCCCAGACUCCUACGGGAGGCAGCAGUGGGGAAUAUUGGACAAUGGGCGAAAGCCUGAUCCAGCAAUGCCGCGUGAGUGAUGAAGGCCUUAGGGUUGUAAAGCUCUUUUACCCGGGAUGAUAAUGACAGUACCGGGAGAAUAAGCCCCGGCUAACUCCGUG